AAUGGUAGAGGUGCAAGGUUCAAUAGUAACUUGUUGAAGGAUGAACAAUUCCAAUGAAGACUUGCGAAAGGGUAACUUGCCGAAGCGGUGAACAAAUUGUUCGGUUUACUUGCUGGUUUUGCAUUGAAUAAAUGUAAGACUGUCAGAAUCUAAAAAUGAUUCUGGAGGGCUAUCU
rnacentral:ncRNA from 1 species